rnacentral:lncRNA from 1 species
UCGGGUUCGGGUCUGAGUCGGGUUCGGGUCCGAAUCGGGUCCAAUUUCUUUGUGCUUUUGGGAAAGAAUUUUGGGCAAAUCUAAUUUGACCAUAUCAUAAUUAUAAGGUGCUGGGUGACCCAUGACUUGAAAGACUUGCAAUUGACCUCCAAUCAGAACAGAUGACCCGUGACGAAUUAAGUCCGUCCGUCUACAAGCCAAAAUUCAUAUCACACUAUUUUUUUAUCUAUAUGACUAAUUGGAUGGAACUUGGUGUCUCGCAGCUCCCCUCUCACGAGGGCAAAGAAAGUCCCAGACCUUCUUCCAAAAUCCAAUUCCAUUGCAGAAACUGGCACACGACCAAUAUUCAGUCAAGCGAGAUCCAGCGCCCGGAUCCACGCUCCUCCCGGCUUCUUCCGCUCGACCCAACGCGAUCACAGCUCCAUCCCAGCGUCUCUUCCGCGUCUCCUU